GACGAACCGUGCGAACGUUAUUCGGAUUCACUGGGCUUAAAGGGCGCGUAGGCGGUGGACCCAGUCCGGGGUGAAAUCUUUCGGCUCAACCGGAAAAGUGCCUCGGAUACUGGUUCACUCGAGGGAGGUAGGGGCAUGUGGAACUUCCGGUGGAGCGGUGAAAUGCGCAGAUAUCAGGAGGAACACCGGUGGCGAAGGCGGGUCUCUGGGCCGAUAUUGACGCUGAGGAGCGAAAGCGUGGGGAGCGAACAGG
rnacentral:rRNA from 1 species